rnacentral:rRNA from 1 species
GACGAACCGUGCGAACGUUGUUCGGAAUCACUGGGCUUAAAGGGCGCGUAGGCGGGCUCGCAAGUCAGGGGUGAAAUCCCACGGCUCAACCGUGGAAGUGCCUUUGAUACUGCGGGCCUUGAGGGAGGUAGGGGCGUGCGGAACUUCCGGUGGAGCGGUGAAAUGCGUAGAUAUCGGGAGGAACAUCAGUGGCGAAGGCGGCUACCUGGCCCAAUACUGACACUCAGGUGCGACAGCGUGGGGAGCAAACAGG